ACAAGUAGAGUGCAAAUUUUACUCUGGGGACUCUUAUUAUUAACCCACAGACUGCACAUUUAGGCUCCAAUGCUGGUUGGGUAGAUUAGUAACAAAGUUGAUUUUUCUUACCCUCUUUCAAGAUUCAAAUCCAAACGCUGUCCAGCAGUUACUUUAUCAAUUUCAUACCUGUAGAGAGAGAAAAUUCUUAAACAUGAGCAUCAACAUAAAAAAAAUCGUGUAUCUAGCAGAAAACAACUUCUAGCACAGACCUCAGUUCACUGCGCAUUUUAUCUAUGUCACCUCGUAAUUUUUCAGUCUCACGUUGCAACAAAGAAAAAUGAUGCUCCUGCAUUAUGGAUAGUUCUUCAGAAAAAAUCAACACAACAAACACUAGGGUUAACUACACUAAAACCAUCUAGUUCUCCUAUUCCAAGGAAAUACUAAACACAGAUCAGUAAUAAUUCUAUUUUAUGCUUCUAAUUGCUUAGAGAAGCACGGAAAUAUAUUUAUAUAAAACUGAAGCAAGAGUUCAAGCAUAGCAGCCCUGUCAUUUACAUUCUCUACAAAAGACAUUCCAAACUAAAAAAAUUCUUAAAGUAAUAAAAAUAGAAUUCUAGAAAGCUAACAUGUAGAAAUGCUUUUAAGAGGGUACAAAAAUCCCACCUAUCUAACCAAAUUUGUAAUGUGAAUGCAUAGCUUAAAGGAAACACCAUCAACGCUCUUAGUGAAACAUUUGAUACCACAUAUGGAGUGGCUGAUAAACAAUAGAACAUGAACAUAUGCUUAAUUUAUAACGAGCCACACCUCACUCCUCCCUCAUUCAGUGACCAAUCCACAGGCUUCUGAAAGGCUAAAAAAGUUCUUCCAUUGUAACCUCUCUAAGUUAUAAACAGUCAAUGACUCAAUUCUACCUUUGACAACCUCCAAAUUCUACCCAUCAAACCAUUUAAAUUAUUUAACUAUUUUUUUCUAAGUUUAAACUUGAUUUUGAGAAAUCAUUUGAAGACUAAACUGUAUAUGAUAGAAAAAUACAAUGACCAAAAUAACUUUCAAUUGAGAACUUAUAAGUAAAAAUGAAUAUAGGGACCAAAAUAAUAUUUUAAAAAAACAUAAAAAACAAAAUGUACAUUAGCAAAAAAAUCCAUGGUGAUAAGUGUCUAUUUCAUAUGGUGUUAGUUAAUGAUGUAAAAAUUACGAAAGUAUAAAUUAACUGAGUAAUAUUUUUUUAAAAAAAGAGUAAAUAUGUCUUUUAAAUACAAAUUAGUACAGGGAUGUACAGAAAUGUUAGCCCUAAAAAACAUCCAGGUAUUUUCAAGAUCACAUAAUUAAGUCCACGAACCCAUUAAAAACAACUGUAUUGCACAGGUAAAAGGAUAAAAGAAUUAACACUCCAAUAACAUCCUAAACCCUAAAAAAUCCUAGAAAACAGACAAUUAUACGUGAUAGAAAUAAAUCAAAUUCACAGCACCUGAGAACUCUGUACUUCAGACUUAAACUUGGACAGAUUUGAGUCUUGAAUCAUUUCACUCUACAAAAUUUCCAAAAAUAAAGCAAACAUCAAUCUUUUUUUCAAAAACGGUACAAACACGAACACUUUUUUUUAAGCGCAGGAAGGACAAAUCAAAGUCGGAAAAAAAAUGACUACCUUCUGCAUUUCUGCCUUAGAAACAAAUGAAUUAGCGACAUUCUCCAAACUAUCAUUCAACACUUCAGUAAUCGCAGCCGUAAUCGCCUCCGCUUGCUUCGACGGCACGCCUUGCGCUUCCAAUCCUCUCACCUUCAAGAGAGAGAGAAAUCAGUUAUUUUCCACUUAAUUGGACAGAAACUUCGAAAUAGAAACAGAAAUUAAAUUAACUUUACCAGUGCUAAAGUAUCAACGAGAAAUGCGCGUUUAUUGUUGUUAGGUCUAACGAGCUGCGAAAUAUGCCGGUAAUCAAAUCUGUUACCAAAUGAACUAGAAGAUGAUGGGUUAAUCGCUCGAGAUUUUGCAAAGAAAAUCGCAGAAUUAACGCCUGAUCUAACCACUCGACUGCAAAGAGCCAUAAAAAAUUCUGUUGAGAAAAAAAAGAGGGCUAAACUAAUCCGUACAAAAAGGGAUUAAAGUUUGUGCAUUUUUGUAUUAAAGGAGAGUGAUUUAGGGAAAUGAAAAAUUUAGGGAGAGGGAGGCGGGAAUUGGAUGUAGUUCUUGUUUGGGUAAAAAGAAAUGAAAAGAGAGGCACUUGGUUUUGUUUAUUUAUGUUCGAGUGUUGGUUGCUGGCUUGCUGAGAACGCUUUCUGUGCUUGCGUGAUGUGUUUUUUGUUUCC
rnacentral:lncRNA from 1 species